CAGUCGAACGGAGCUUAGAGAGCUUGCUUUUUAAGCUUAGUGGCGAACGGGCGAUUAACGCGUGAGUAACCUGCCCUAGAGUGGGGGACAACAGCUGGAAACGACUGCUAAUACCGCAUAAGCCCACGGUGCCGCAUGGCACUGAGGGAAAAGGAUUUAUUCGCUUUAGGAUGGACUCGCGUCCAAUUAGCUAGUUGGUGAGGUAACGGCCCACCAAGGCGACGAUUGGUAGCCGGACUGAGAGGUUGAACGGCCACAUUGGGACUGAGACACGGCCCAGACUCCUACGGGAGGCAGCAGUGGGGGAUAUUGCACAAUGGGGGAAACCCUGAUGCAGCGACGCCGCGUGGAGGAAGAAGGUUUUCGGAUUGUAAACUCCUGUCGUUAGGGACGAUAAUGACGGUACCUAACAAGAAAGCACCGGCUAACUACGUGCCAGCAGCCGCGGUAAAACGUAGGGUGCAAGCGUUGUCCGGAAUUACUGGGUGUAAAGGGAGCGCAGGCGGGAAGACAAGUUGGAAGUGAAAACCAUGGGCUCAACCCAUGAAUUGCUUUCAAAACUGUUUUUCUUGAGUAGUGCAGAGGUAGAUGGAAUUCCCGGUGUAGCGGUGGAAUGCGUAGAUAUCGGGAGGAACACCAGUGGCGAAGGCGGUCUACUGGGCACCAACUGACGCUGAGGCUCGAAGGCAUGGGUAGCAAACAGGAUUAGAUACCCUG
rnacentral:rRNA from 1 species